CGUUGGCUGUGAUGACAUAUUUUACAGCUUCAAAAUGCCAGUUCUGCUUCAGAGAAUUCAUGAUUGAGGAAGCUGAUAAAACACUGAGCCUUCU
rfam:Musa acuminata subsp. malaccensis Doubled-haploid Pahang (DH-Pahang) genomic chromosome, chr7